AACAACAACAGAAACAGCAACGACGACGACGCCGCCAACACGGCCGACAACGUCAAAGUCGUCGUUGUCGGUUCGGUUCGGUUGGCUUGGUGGCGGUGGGUUGGGAUGGUUGUUGGUUGUUUGUCGUAGACUAACAGAAUAGCAUAGCGGAAUGGAUGGAUGGAUGGAUGUAGUAAGAAAAAGAGGGUAAAAUAAAGUGUCACGAUUCACAAUUCAAACGUCAUCUGCCCUUGAACUUCAAAGAUGAACGUUCUUAGUGGUUAAGUGCAUAUUUAUACCUACUAGGAAGGUAGGUACCUAUACUGGGAAUUUCAGGCUUAAAGGACCAUUUGAAUUUGUUUUUUAGUUAAAAUAAAACUAAAUGGAUUUUAUUAAAAAAAAUAAAUAAAACAAAUAAAUUCUUA